rnacentral:rRNA from 1 species
AUACGGAGGUUCCAAGCGUUAUCCGGAUUCAUUGGGUUUAAAGGGUCCGCAGGCGGGAAAAUAAGUCAGUGGUGAAAGCCUACAGCUCAACUGUAGAACUGCCAUUGAUACUGUUUUUCUUGAGUAUAGAUGAAGUGGGCGGAAUAUAUCAUGUAGCGGUGAAAUGCAUAGAUAUGAUAUAGAACACCGAUUGCGAAGGCAGCUCACUAAACUAUUACUGACGCUCAGGGACGAAAGCGUGGGGAGCGAACAGGAUUAGAAACCCUAGUAGUCC